CGCCGGUGGCUAUCUGGCCCUGGUGGGGAGCUUCCCGGAAACGAAAGUCUUCCGGUUCCGGGGGAAGUAUGGUUGCAAAGCUGAAACUUAAAGGAAUUGACGGAAGGGCACCACCAGGAGUGGAGCCUGCGGCUUAAUUUGACUCAACACGGGAAAACUCACCCGGCCCGGACACCGUGAGGAUUGACAGAUUGAUAGCUUUUUCAUGAUUCGGUGGUUGGUGGUGCAUGGCCGUUCUUAGUUCGUGGAUCGAUUUGUCUGGUUUAUUCCGAUAACGAGCGAGACUCCAGCCUACUAAAUAGUGCGGGCAUUGCUUCUGUGCCUCGCACUUCUUAGAGGGAUUGGCUGCGUCUAGCGGCACGAAACGGAGCAAUAACAGGUCUGUGAUGCCCUUAAAUGUCCGGGGCUGCACGCGCGCUACACUGGCAAAGGCAGCGUGCUUGUCCAUCUCCGAAAGGAGCUGGUAAACCCUUGAAAAUUUGCCGUGAUUGGGAUCGGAAAUUGCAAUUAUUUUCCGUGAACGAGG
rnacentral:rRNA from 1 species